rnacentral:lncRNA from 1 species
GCGGACCGGAGGAGCCAUCUUGUCUCGUCGCCGGGGAGUCAGGCCCCUAAAUCGAAGAAGCCCUGGCGCGCCCUCCCCCCCUCCCGGGUCUGAUAGCAGACUCCUUGAAAGCAGGGUCCUUGUUUAGUGCAUCUUUGCCCACAUACACCACAACAUAUCAAGAUGCAUUUAUUAGGAAGGAGGAGUUUAGAGAGCAGGCUAUCAGAAUAACCACUCAUCCUGUGCCUCCUGAUUGCUGAGUGUUCACCUGGACCUUCUGACUACCUUCCCUGUGCUAUUCCAUCAGCCUACAGACCUGGUACCUGGAUUUUUGCCCGAGAUGAUUCCUACCACCUUACUACUGACGAAGACACCCAUUCCAGUGGACCACUGUGACCCAGGAGGCAUUCAGCCAUCAUGAUGUGGCCUUUACCUCCACUCCUGUCUUGUUCUACCCAGAUUCAGCACAGCCCUUUAUAGUGAAGUCAGAGUCCUCAAGCCAAAUAGCUAAAGCUGUUUUAUCACAACAAAGGCCUAGUUUGUUCCAUGAGUGUGCAUUUCAUUUCUUCAGUUAAAGCCUUCAGAGACACACAAUAAAUUUGGACCAGGGGAUUUUUUAGUUAUUAAUGCUCUCUGAAGAAAGGCAACAUCUUUUUGAGAGCAGCAUUGGACCACACCCCACAAUCUCAAAUGAUUGAAAUUCAUGAACAUCUAGGAUCCCGUGAAGGUCACUGGACCCUGUUUUUUCUACUUCAAAUCCUGUAGUAGCCUACUGAAUGAGAAAACAUAUUCUGACCCAUUGGGAUCAAAUCAAAGGCACAGUGAACUCCUCAUAGCAUCUUCUUUGGAAUUACUCAGGAACCAGAACUUUUUACACAAAUGUAAGAAAUUCUACCAAGGAGUCCCCUUACCUAACAGCAUCUCACAAGGCUGCACCAGAUUCCAGAAAAGGCUUCUCUUGAUACAUCAAGGUAGAACCUCUAUGCAUUUUGUGACCGACUUAUUCUUAGAUCAUUGGUUUUCCAAAGGCUUUGUGGCCAUGAAGCCCUUUGAGUGAAAACUGUGCAGAAGCCCAGAGUAAAAGUGAAGCUGCUCUGGAUGAAGUAGUGAAGCAAGAGUAGGGGCCUGAAUCCUGCUACAACUAUCUUCCUUUACCACCGUGGUGACACCUAAGGGGACUUCCUUACAACACCUUGAACUCUUCCGAACACAGUUUGAAAACCACUGCCCCAGACAGCAAUAUGUUUGACCUGAAUGGCAUUCCAAUCUUUUCUGUACCUCCACUCAGCACAGUUCAUGUUCAGUAGAUGCUGAACAUUCUUAGAAAUACUGUGUGUGAACUUAGAAAAGUGCAAGAAGACAGGCAUGUCUUUGACCCCAGGAAUGAUCAUUUGCUGAAGAUGGUGUCAAGUGAACCUAGAUUAACAGCCCUCCACUCCAGAUGGAUAUCCAGUGAUUCCUAGAAUGGGAUAUAGCCAGAGAACAAUUCUAUGCACCCUACACUGACAGACUCCCUUAAGCAACACCAGAUGCUCUACUGGUACUUGAAGUACAUGACUUUGAAGUCUUGACCCUCCAUGAAUACCUGAAUUAUCAGCAAGCGGGUUUUGAAGCUGGUGCCUCAUUGAGGCCAUAUUAGAGCAACUUGUACAUUUGACCUCUUGUUAUCAGCCAUGGUACUCUACUUCGUGUGCAAGAGAUAACUAUGAAAGCCAAAUUCAAAUACUGGCAACAUUUCCUAAAGGGGCUCAAUAUCUAUCAUUCGUCUUCUUUUCCAAACUACACAUCACUGUAUGACUCAACCAGUAGCAGUUAUAUUGCCCCUUGGUUUUUAUUCA